rnacentral:rRNA from 1 species
UGGGGAAUUUUGGACAAUGGGCGCAAGCCUGAUCCAGCCAUGCCGCGUGCGGGAAGAAGGCCUUCGGGUUGUAAACCGCUUUUGUCAGGGAAGAAAUCUUCUGAGUUAAUACCUCGGGAGGAUGACGGUACCUGAAGAAUAAGCACCGGCUAACUACGUGCCAGCAGCCGCGGUAAUACGUAGGGUGCAAGCGUUAAUCGGAAUUACUGGGCGUAAAGCGUGCGCAGGCGGUUUUGUAAGACAGAGGUGAAAUCCCCGGGCUCAACCUGGGAACUGCCUUUGUGACUGCAAGGCUUGAGUGCGGCAGAGGGGGGAUGGAAUUCCGCGUGUAGCAGUGAAAUGCGUAGAUAUGCGGAGGAACACCGAUGGCGAAGGCAAUCCCCUGGGCCUGCACUGACGCUCAUGCACAAAGCGUGGGGAGCAAACAGGAUUAGAUACCCUGGUAGUCCACGCCCUAAACGAUGUCAACUGGUUGUUGGG